GAUAUUUAUUCUGUACUUUUUCACUUGUCAUUUGCCAGUUUUGAUUUCUGCUUCCUCAGUGUUAUUAGUGAAAAUGAGAAAAAAAAAGCCUAGCGUUACAACCUCGGUUGCAACCAUAAUAGCUCUGCACACGAAUCUAUCAGUGUUUUACAAUGAACGAGAGUUCGCAGUUACGAACCUCGAAACGAAACAACCGGAGUGUUAUUUUUUCUUCUUUCCCGGGACUCAAACAAGUUGUCCUUCAUCAAAAUGUGCUGUUCGUUUAGAAUUUUCACGAAGCUUCUCGAUGCCCCUUACAUCUCGGGAGUAAAUAGCUAUGUGAAAAAUGCAACGAGCGGUAUCAUUGGAGAUGCAGCCAGCCAUGGUUUUGGCACUCACGCCACAAUUGCCUUCAUCCUGCAUUUCUGUAUGUUGAGCAUGCAUGAAUUUACAAGCUUUACAAUGCUGAUAGAA